rnacentral:SRP_RNA from 1 species
GCUGGGCAAGGUGGUGCAUGCCUGUAGUUCCAGCUACUUGGAAGGCCCAGGAGUUCCGGGCUGUAGCACAUUAUGCCUAUUGGGUGUCCGAACUAAGUUAAGCAUCAAUACGGAGCCCUCCCAAGGUGGAGGACCACCAGGUUGCCUAAGGAGGGGUGAGCUGGCCCAGGUCAGAAAUGGAGCACGUCAAAAAUUCCAUGCUGAUCAGUAGUGGGAUUGCACCUGUGAAUAGCCACUGCACUCCAGCCUGGGCAACAU